AGGAACCUCACUGCUAUAGGCUAUUAUUGGGAAGACCACAGUUAUGAAAAGAAUUCUCAAAAUUCUAGAAGACAUGGAAGGCAUCUUCAAAGGGAAGAAAGAAUUCACAGUGGAGAGAAAACCUAUAAAAGUGU